CAUGUCAUUUGAUUUAGACGGAGGUGCAGCGAUGAAGAUGUUCGGAGACAUUCUGACAGAUCAGAUAGCAUCAGAGAUGCUGUUUCUGGUGGCGCCAGAGGUGUGAGUCAGGAUUGCACAACCCAGUAUGCUACUGUCAGUCCCCACUGACCUGCUCGCAGCUCUUCUGUUCAACAAAAAUAACCUAAACUCAUUAUUGUGAUAUUACAAGUAAAAGCAAAUCGUGCAAA